rnacentral:rRNA from 1 species
UACGUAGGUGGCAAGCGUUGUCCGGAUUUACUGGGUGUAAAGGGCGAGUAGGCGGGAUUGCAAGUCAGAUGUGAAAUGCCGGGGCUUAACCCCGGAGCUGCAUUUGAAACUGUAGUUCUUGAGUAUCGGAGAGGCAGGCGGAAUUCCCGGUGUAGCGGUGGAAUGCGUAGAUAUCGGGAGGAACACCAGUGGCGAAGGCGGCCUGCUGGACGACAACUGACGCUGAGGAGCGAAAGCGUGGGGAGCAAACA